rnacentral:rRNA from 1 species
UACAUGUGGGGCAAGCGUUGUUCGGAAUUACUGGGCAUAAAGGGUGCGUAGGCGGCUUGUUAAGUCAGGGGUGAAAGUUUUCGGCCCAACCGGAAAAUUGCCUUUGAUACUGGCGAGCUUGAGUGCGUGAGGGAUGGGGGGAACGAGCAGUGUAGCGGUGAAAUGCGUAGAUAUCUGGAGGAACACCGGUGGCGAAGGCGGCAUCCUGGACCGAGAUUGACGCUGAGGCGCGAAAGCCAGGGGAGCAAACGGGG